rnacentral:rRNA from 1 species
GACGAACGCUGGCGGCGUGCCUAAUACAUGCAAGUCGAACGCCCUCGACCUUCGGGUCACAUGAGGGAGUGGCGAACGGGUGCGUAACACGUGAGAAACCUGCCCUGAAGACGGGAAUAACCCGAGGAAACUCGGACUAAUACCCGAUGCCCUCUUCGGACCGCAUGGUCUGUUGAGGAAAGGCUCCGGCGCUUCAGGAGGGUCUCGCGGCCUAUCAGCUUGUUGGUGAGGUAACGGCUCACCAAGGCAUCGACGGGUAGCUGGUCUGAGAGGACGAUCAGCCACACUGGGACUGAGACACGGCCCAGACUCCUACGGGAGGCAGCAGUAGGGAAUCUUGCGCAAUGGGCGAAAGCCUGACGCAGCAACGCCGCGUGGGGGAUGAAGGCCUUCGGGUCGUAAACCCCUUUCAGCAGGGACGAAACUGACGGUACCUGCAGAAGAAGGUCCGGCCAACUACGUG